rnacentral:rRNA from 1 species
CUCAGACAGCUAGGAGGUUGGCUUAGAAGCAGCCACCCUUUAAAGAAAGCGUAAUAGCUCACUAGUCGAGUCGGCCUGCGCGGAAGAUGUAACGGGGCUCAAACUGGAUACCGAAGCUGCGGAUGUGCACUUAGUGCACGUGGUAGGGGAGCGUUGUGUAAGUCUGUGAAGGUGUGUUGAGAAGCAUGCUGGAGGUAUCACAAGUGCGAAUGCUGACGUGAGUAACGAUAAUGGGAGUGAAAAACUCCCACGCCGAAAGACCAAGGUUUCCUGCGCAACGCUAAUCGGCGCAGGGUGAGUCGGCCCCUAAGGCGAGGCAGAAAUGCGUAGCUGAUGGGAAACGGGUUAAUAUUCCCGUACUUCUUAUAACUGCGAUGGAGAGACGGAGAAGGCUAUACCUACCGGGCGUUGGUUGUCCCGGGGAAAGGUCGUAGGCUGAGGUGUUAGGCAAAUCCGGCACCUUAAGGCUGAGAACCGAGACCACUGGUCCUUUGUGACCGGGAAGUGGUUGAUGCCAUGCUUCCAGGAAAAUCUUCUAAGCUUCAGGCUAUUCGAGACCGUACCCCAAACCGACACAGGUGGUUGGGAUGAGUAUUCUAAGGCGCUUGAGAGAACUCGGGUGAAGGAACUAGGCAAAAUUGUACCGUAACUUCGGGAGAAGGUACGCCGCUGACGGUGAUGAGACUUGCUCUCUGAGCUAUUGGCGGUCGCAGUGAAAAGGCCCCUGCAACUGUUUAUUAAAAACACAGCACUCUGCAAACGCGUAAGCGGACGUAUAGGGUGUGACGCCUGCCCGGUGCCGGAAGGUUAAUUGAUGGGGUUAGCUUCGGCGAAGCUCUUGAUCGAAGCCCCGGUAAACGGCGGCCGUAACAAUAACGGUCCUAAGGCAGCG